rnacentral:tRNA from 1 species
GGAGAGGUGGCCGAGAGGCUGAUGGCAUCUGUUUGCUAAACAGAAUCGGGUUAUUCCGACGCAGGUUCAAAUCCUGUUCUCUCCGC